rnacentral:misc_RNA from 1 species
AAGGAUCAUUACAAGAGAUUGGUUUGCUCAUUCAGCGCCGACUCCCACCCUUUGUUUACCAAAACUUGUCAUCUUUGGCAAAGCGUUUAAGCUUUUUUGCUGAAACCAUUGAUGGUGUAAAAGCUAUGAAUGUGUCUUUGCCAAAGUAACCAAUUUCAAACUCUUUUUUUUAACUAAAAUGUUUGUCUGAGUAAAUGAUAAUAAAUCAAAACUUUCAACAACGGAUCUCUUGGUUCUG